AAGGCCAGCCUCUGUUUCCGGGCUGCAUCGUCCUGCUCCAGUGAACACACAAUCUGCCAACAGGACAGUGAGCCGCAGCCACUUGAGGACAGGCCUGGUCUUUGGCUGGAUAAUUCUGGGCAUGUGUGAAGGAGAGAUGGAUUUGCCAGGAAGCAAGUCUUCAGAGCAAACUGAGCAAAGGAAAAGGCAGAUUCUGGUGAAUUGCUACCGCUGUAAAAGUGAGACAAUCCUCACCAACUGCAUUACGGCAUGG